rnacentral:rRNA from 1 species
GUCCACGCUGUAAACGAUGGAUACUAGAUGUUGCGGGUAUUGACCCCUGCAGCGUCGUCGCUAACGCAUUAAGUAUCCCGCCUGGGAAGUACGGCCGCAAGGCUAAAACUCAAAGGAAUUGACGGGGGCCCGCACAAGCGGUGGAGUAUGUGGUUUAAUUCGACGCAACGCGAAGAACCUUACCCAGACUUGACAUUGAUGGAAUCCUGUAGAGAUAUGGGAGUACCCGCAAGGGACCUGAAAACAGGUGCUGCAUGGCUGUCGU